UACGGAGGGGGCUAGCGUUAUUCGGAAUUAUUGGGCGUAAAGGGCGCGUAGGCGGCCCGGUAAGUCAAAGGUGAAAUCCCUCGGCUCAACUGAGGAACUGCCUUUGAAACUGCCGGGCUAGAGGACGGUAGAGGCGAGUGGAAUUCCCGGUGUAGCGGUGAAAUGCGCAGAUAUCGGGAAGAACACCGGUGGCGAAGGCGGUCUGCUGGGCAGUUGCUGGACACUGAGGCGCGAAAGCGUGGGGAGCGAACGAGG
rnacentral:rRNA from 1 species